rnacentral:rRNA from 1 species
AUUGAACGCUGGCGGCAGGCCUAACACAUGCAAGUCGAGCGGAGCGGCGGACGGGUGAGUAAUGCCUAGGAAUCUGCCUGGUAGUUGGGGAUAACGUCCGGAAACGGGCGCUAAUACCGCAUACUAUCAGAUGAGCCUAGGUCGGAUUAGCUAGUUGGUGGGGUAAAGGCCUACAAAGGCGACGAUCCGUAACUGGUCUGAGAGGAUGAUCAGUCAAACAGGAACUGAGACACGGUCCAGACUCCUACGGGAGGCAGCAGUGGGGAGUAGUGGACAAUGGGCGAAAGCCUGAUUCAGCCAUGCCGCGUGAGUGAAGAAGGUCUUCGGAUUGUAAAGCACUUUAAGUUGGGAGGAGUUAAAAACAGAAUAAGCACCGGCUAACUUCGUGGCAGCAGCCGCGGUAAUAC